UGGGGAAUUUUGCGCAAUGGGGGAAACCCUAACCCAGCAACGCCGCGUGAGGGUUGAAGCCCUUGGGUUCUUAAAGCCCUUUCAGGGGGGAAGAAAUCCAGGUGUGCUAUUAUCAUCUUUCCUUAACGUUCCCCCCAAAGGAACCGCCGGCAAAUCCCGUGCCAGCAGCCGCGGUAUUCCGGAGGGUGCAAGCGUUGUUCGGAAUUUUUGGCGGUAAAGCGCGGUAAGGCGGUUUGUUAAGUCUGAUGUGAAAGCCCCGGGCUGAACCUGGGAAGUGCAUUGGAAACUGUCAGAAUUGAAUAAGGGAGAGGGUAGUGGAAUGCCUAGUGUAGGAGUGAAAUCCGUAGAUAGUAGGAGGAAAACCGGUGGCGAAGGCGGCUACCUGGACCGAUAUUGACGCUGAGACGCGAAAGCGUGGGGAGCAAACAG
rnacentral:rRNA from 1 species